rnacentral:ncRNA from 1 species
AAGCAUAUCAAUAAGCGGAGGAGAAGAAACUUACAAGCAUUCCCCUAGUAACGGCGAGCGAGCCGGGAACAUCCCAGCUUUAGAAUCGGGCGACUUCGCCGUCCGAAUUGUAGUCUGGAGAAG